AUCAGCUGGUUGCUACAAAGGAUAACCACCACCGCAUCUAGGUAACCUCUGCAGCCUGUGCCAAUGGGCCGCCAUGCACUUGCGAAAUCGACAGCUCUCCUCCGGGGAAUUAAGAACAAGCAAAGCACUAACCUUGUGAGGCGACUGGAGCCUGCAGAAGUGAAGUCAGCAGAAACAUCAUUGUGGGUGCCACACCCAAGGACAGGGAUAUACUACCCCAAGGGCUUUGAAUGGGUCAUGGAGGAUGUCCCCAGUGGUGCAGCUUCGUUCCGGCAGUCAUACUGGUUCAGGACUGGAGAGGCAGAGUCAGCUAGCUCUACCACACCCAAGAACGAUGCUGCUUUCCUUGACCAUCCAUUUGUUUAAAUGUGUGACACUUUGCACUGGAAGAAUCACAAAAAGGCAGCUCUGUGUUCCAGGGAGGAAAAAGACACAGGAGUGCCCAUCACCAUCAAGCCAGGUCCAUGGAUGCUAUGAAAUACUACUUACCAGUUGCUACGGUUCCAGCGUGCAGUCACCGCAUCCACCAACAGAUCACGAACAAUAUUCACCUUUCUUUUUUUCUUUCUAACCUUCUGUUGGUUCUACCUAAAUAAAACCUGCCUUUAACUGUACA